rnacentral:rRNA from 1 species
AUUGAACGCUGGCGGCAGGCCUAACACAUGCAAGUCGAGCGAGCGGCGGACGGGUGAGUAAUGUAUGGGGAUCUGCCUGAUAGAGGGGGAUAACUACUGGAAACGGUAGCUAAUACCGCAUCACAUCAGAUGAACCCAUAUGGGAUUAGCUAGUAGUGUGGGUAACGGCUCACCUAGGCGACGAUCUCUAGCUGGUCUGAGAGGAUGAUCAGCAACACUGGGACUGAGACACGGCCCAGACUCCUACGGGAGGCAGCAGUGGGGAAUAUUGCACAAGGGGCGCAAGCCUGAUGCAGCCAUGCCGCGUGUAUUAAGAAGGCCUUCGGGUUGUAAAGUACUUUCAGCGGGGAGGCGUUACCCGCAGAAGAAGCACCGGCUAACUCCGUGCCAGCAGCCGCGGUAAUUC